rnacentral:lncRNA from 10 species
UAUCUCUGCCCAAAACUGAAGUGUUUACAUUAUAUACUUAGGAAGUCCAAGUAAAGACAUGAGACUAGACUUUAGGUUGUGGGGCUCUGGUGGUGGCCAGUAAGCCAUGAGAAUGGAUGGACUUUCCUAGAGAGAGUGUGCAGGAUGGUAACCUCAACACCAUUUAUCAGAUUCUUCCUCUGAAAGUCUAAAUUCCAGAAAAAUCCCAGCAACAGAUUUUUUUUCUUUAAUCUGCCUUUUAAAAUCUUAUACCUUUGAAGUGAUUGCAGAGUACAGUUUUGCUGAAGUGGACUUCACAUGGUCUUAAGAUAGCCAGAGGGGCCUCUGUCAGCUGCCCACAUGGUGGUAUCACAGCUGUCCAGGCCGUGCUCUGUGGACAGAUCAGUGAUGAUACCAUGGGCUGUCACAAACCAGGCUCUCACCAGCAAUGCUCUAGUUGUAGUGUUUUUAGUUAUUGAUGUGUUUCAGGGGCCAAGAAUGGCCUUAAUUCUUGAAUUGCAAUUGUGCAAAUAUAGUUUGUACACUCCAUUCCUUAAUCCACAUAAUAAAAGGAAAAGCCAAAAGGAUGCAUUCAACAAAUAUUGGGGCUGAUCAGAUCUUUAUCUGAUUAUGUUCUUUUGGAGUUAAACUAAGUUCUAGAAAUAUGGAACAGGUCAGGCCCAGAACAUUCUUGAUUGAGUAGUUCAAGAUCUUUUGAUAGAAUUCAGAGCCUCCAUGGUGGCUAAGCCAGUUAUUGCUGCUUUAACUUGACUUCUCCCCACAUUUGGAGGAUAUUCCAGCCAAGAAAGGACUUUGAUUCAUAGUCAUCAUCUUCUAUGUACAAUUUGAAAUGUUUUGCAUUUAGGGUUCUUAUGCUUUUUUCCUAACUUAAAAUUGUUUUGUAUUUACAUUUCUAUCCAUAGGUCAAUUCACAUGAUCACUUAAAGUUUUAAAUAAUGUCAUAGAAAUCCUACUGAAUUGCUAUAUUGAAUUUACUUAACCCAUUUCUCUGUGGUUGGAUAUUUAGACAGAUUCCAUUUUACUUCUUAAUAAUAUGCUGUUAGAAACAUUGCUUACAUUGGUUACAUUUCUUUCUGUGGGUCUCUUUUUUGAGCAUUUCUUCAAGAUAUAGUCCCUAAAGAAGAAUUAAGGAUAAAAAAUAUGGAUGGUUUUAUAGCUCUAGUUCCAUAUUGUUAGACAACUGAGAGAAACACUAGAGUAAUGUACAAUGCCCCUGGCAGUAGUUGAGUGGGCUUGUCGUCCAACAGCUCUGCCCAGUAUUUUACCAUUGUGUUUCUUAUUGUGUUCAAGUAGGUAAACAGUUAUUUUCAUUCAUGUUUCUUUAAUUGUGAGACUGAACACCUUCCCUGUGUUAGCUUAUAGGGUCAUUUCCCAGUGUGUGUAAUGCAACUAUAAAGUGCCUGGCACAGGGCUGCCACCUGCUAGUGUCCUUCUCUUUCCUGCUUUCCCCCUUUACUCUUUAGCCAUUUGUCAAAUGAAGUCUCAUUACUGAUGACAAUAUAUGUUUAUCUCACACUAUAAGAUUUUAUUAUUAUUUUGGAUUAUAAAUAUUUAUCCAUUAUAUUUAUCAUAAUUUAAAAUUUUGGGGGGCUCCCUUUGUAUUUGUUUUGUUACUUUUCUUAUUUAUUUAUUUGAUACUGAGUCUUGCUCUGUUGCCCAGGCUGGAGUGUAGUGGCACAAUCUCAGCUCACUGCAACCUCCACCUCCCGGUUCAAGCAAUUCUCGCGCCUCAGCCUCUGAGUAGCUGGGAUUACAGGCUCCUGCCACCAUGCCCAACUAAGUUUUGUAUUUCUAGUAGAGACGGGCUUUCACCAUGUUGGCCAGGCUGGUCUCGAACUCCUGACCUCAGGUGAUCUGUCCACCUUGGCCUCUCAAAGUGCUGGGAUUACAGGCGUGAGCCACCUCGCCUAGCCAGAUGUUUUGUUACUUUUCAUUAAGGAGAUUUUUUUUUUUUUUUUUUGAGACGGGGUCUUGCUUACCCAUGCUGGACUGCAGUGGCGUGAACACAGCUCAUUAUAGCCUUGACCUCCAGGGCUCAAGCCAUUCUUCCACCCCAGUCUCCUGAGUAGCUAGGACCACAGGCGUGCGCCACCAUGCGUGGCUAAUUUUUGUUUUUUUUUUUUUUUUUUUGGUAGAGACAGGGUUUUGCCAUGUUGGCCGGGCUGACCUUGAACUCCUGGGCUCAAGCAGUCUGCCUUCCUUGGCCUUCCAAAGUGCAAAGAGACUUUAAAUAGACUUUAUGAUAUUCGAGUUCACCUACCUCAGUCUUAUAAUACUAUUUAGUUUUUUAAUCAUGAAUUUCUCUCUCUGCUAUAGCUGGG